UUUUUUUUUUUUUUUUUGAGAGGGAGUGUUGCACUGUCACCCAGGCUGGAGUGCAGUGGCGCGAUCUUAGCACACUGCAACCUCCGCCUCCCGGGUUCAAGCAAUUCUCCUGCCUCAGCCUCCUGAGUAGCUGGGAUUACAGGCGCCCGCCACCAGCCCAGCUAAUUUUUUGUAUUUUUAGUAGAGUCGGCGUUUCACCAUGUUGGCCAGGCUGGUCUCGAACUCCUGACCUUGUGAUUCGCCCAUCUCGGCCUCCCAAAGUGCCAGGAUUACAGGCGUGAGCCACUGCGCCCGACCUUUUUUUUUUUUUUUUUGAGAUGGAGUCUCACUCCAGGCUGGAGUACAGUGGUGUAAUCUCAGCUCACUGCAACCUCUGCCUCCUGAGUUCAAACGACUCUCCUGCCUUAGCCUCCCAAGUAGCUGGGAUUACAGGAACCCGCCACCACGCCUGGCUAAUUUUUGCAUUUUUAGUAAAGAUGGGGUUUCACCAUGUUGGCUAGGCUGAUCUUGAACUCCUGACCUUAGGUGAUCCCUCUACCUCAGCCUCCCAAAGUGCUGGGAUUAUAGGCAUGAGCCACCACACCCAGGCUACAUUGAUACAUCAUUAUCACCCAAAGUCCAUAGUUUACAUUAGGGCUCACUCUUGUUCUAUGAGUUUACAAAAAUGUAUAAUGACAUGCAUCAUGAUUAUAUUAUACAAAAUAGUUUCAUUGCACUAACAAUCUUCAAUAAAUGGGCGCAUACUUUGGGAGACCCAGGUGGGUGGGGUUACCUGAGGUCAGGAGUUCGAGAUCAGCCUGACCAAUAUGAUGAAACCCUGUCUCUACUAAAACUACCGAAAAUAGCUGAGCGUGGUGGCAUGCGCCUGUAAUCCCAGCUACUCUGGAGGCUGAGACAGGACAAUUUGCUUGAACCUGGGAGGCGGAGGUUGCAGUGAGCUGAGAUUGCGCCAUUGCACUCCAGCCUGAGCAGCAAGAGCGAAACUCCGUCUCAAAAAACAAAUUUUUUUACUGAGGUCUGUUUUAUCCAUUAUUUAUCUCACGGAUCUUGCCUUUGGUGUUCUGUCUAAAAAGUCAUCACCAAAUUCAAGAACAUCUAGAUUUUCUCCGGUUAUCUUCUGUGAGCCUUAUAGUUUUGCAUUUUACGUUUAGGUCUACAAUCCAUUUUGAGCUAAUUUUUAUGAAGGAUGUAAGGUCUGUCUAGAUUCAUUUUUUUGCAUGUGGAUGUCCAGUUGUUCAAUACCAUUUGUUGAAAAGACUAUCUUUACUCCAUUGUAUUACCUUUGCUCCUCUGUCAAAGAUAAAUUCUUUAUGUUUAAAAAAAUAUAAAGAUUGGGCUUGUAAUCUCAGCUGCUCAGGAGGCUGAGACAGGAAGAUUACUCAAGCCCAAUAAUUUGAGAACAGUAUGGACAAUAUAGCGAGACUCCAUCUCUAACAACAAAAGAGAAUUAGCCUGGCAUGGUGGUGCACACCUGUAGUCCCAGCUACUCCGGAGGCUGAGGUGGGAAGAUUAUUUAAGCCC
rnacentral:lncRNA from 1 species